GAAAGCGUUGACCACAGGGCUGAGAGCCCCAGGUCUCCUGCUCUGGCCAGAGGGGACCCACUAGCUCAGGCGCUGUGUUCCGAGUCUAAGUCUUCAGGGUACUGUGGUCCAGUGACCAGGACCAUGGCAAAGCAACUGAAUGGUCUCACACACACUCUGGGGGCCCCACUCGCACCUGACUGCACCUCAGAUAAGACAUUCCAAAAGCCUACCAAGGAGAAGAAAAGGAAGCUGACCCCCGAAGAGCCAGGCAGCCUACCAGCCCCGAAUCUGGAGAUGAAGCGCCAGCGCCAGUCCUUCCUCCCCUGCCUAAGAAGGGGCUCUCUACCUAAGGCCCAGCCGUGCUCUGAGCCGAGAACUCCCAAAAGAGAGAGGGCCUCUUCCCCCUCUCCCUCCUCCCGAGUCUGCCCAGCCACGGUCAUUAAAAGCCGGGUACCCCUGGGCCCUUCUGCCUUACAGAACUGUUCCACUCCUCUGGCCCUACCCACUCGGGACCUCAACACCACCUUCAAUGUCUCUGAGGAGUCCCCCUCCAAACCCAGCUUCCAGGAAUUUGUUGACUGGGAAAAAGUUUCCCCGGAGCUGAACAGUACCGACCAGCCCUUUCUCCCCAGCGCACCUGUCUUCAUAUUCACGAAGGGCCGCAAGCCUUCGCUUCCUGCAGUCACUGCCAGCAAGAAGAGGCGUACUAUGAGGCCCUCAGUCUCCCGAGGCCGCAGCUGUAUUGCCCGUCUCCACAGUAGCACCUUGAAGAAGCCAAACAGACCCUUCACUGUCCCAGAGCCACCCUUGAGCCCCCACUGCCUUGAUGACCAGAGGACUCCUAAAGGACUGACUGGGGUGACAGAGUCCUAUUAACUGGGUGUUCUGACCACGAGGGACUCCUGGCAUCCACGAUUGUUCUGAUUCGCCAAUAGCCUUCUCUUGUCUACAGCUGCCAAUGCCAAGAGUCCCUAGCCUGCCUUCCUCACCUUGGAGCAAUUAACACCACCAUGCCUUAGCUCUGUUAACACCCCUCCCCAACCACUUGUCUAUUUGCCUUCUUUAUUAGUCUCUUUCACACUCAGCUUCUUGGUAUAUACAUAUUCCUUUGUGAGUGUUAAACGUGUGGCUGUAUUAAAGGAUCCUGUCAGGGUUUCUCAUUCCCAAAGCCUUCCACAGAAGCAGGGGACUCUUGGGCUCUGUCCUUUACCCCUCAGCUUCAUGUCUGACAACAGGGCUCUGCACAGUGAAGGUGGAUGAGGACAAGAGGGUUGCUGACAAAUGCCGGCUUAGCUCUCCUGGUGCUAAACACAGCAUACAUUCAGAAUGUAAGGAGAGAGGGGACUGUGAGGAUAGAGCCUUAGGUCUAAAUGCUAGCUGGUUGUGUCGGUAGUUAGGCAUCCUUCUCAUCUUUGGCUUCUCCACAUUCACAUGUAUUGUAUUUAUAUGUAUACACAUAGGUGUAUGCCUAUAUAUAUAUAUAUAUAUAUAUAUAUAUUUUGGCUGUAAUAAUAAACAUCUCUGUCUUUGGUGUCUUCUUCCUUCUACACUCUGG
rnacentral:lncRNA from 1 species